UCAGCAGCCGCGGUAAAACGUAGGACGCAAGCGUUAUCCGGAAUUACUGGGCGUAAAGCGCGUGUAGGUGGUUGCAUAAGUCACUGUUGAAAGCUCCCGGCUAAACUGGGAGAGGUGCGGUGAGACUGUGUGGCUAGAGUAUGGGAGAGGGAUGCAGAAUUCCGGGUGUAGUGGUGAAAUGCGUAGAGAUCCGGAGGAAUACCAGAGGCGAAGGCGGCAUCCUGGCCUGUUACUGACACUGAGACGCGAAAGCAUGGGGAGCGAACGGGAUUAGAGACCCCGGUAGUCCAUGCCGUAAACGAUGCAAACUAGAUGUAUGUGACCUUACGGGGUUGUGUGCGUCGCAGCUAACGCGAUAAGUUUGCCGCCUGGGGAGUACGGUCGCAAGGCUAAAACUUAAAGGAAUUGGCGGGGG
rnacentral:rRNA from 1 species